rnacentral:rRNA from 1 species
CUGUGAGGUAUGCUGGAGGUAUCAGAAGUGCGAAUGCUGACAUAAGUAACGAUAAAGCGGGUGAAAAGCCCGCUCGCCGGAAGACCAAGGGUUCCUGUCCAACGUUAAUCGGGGCAGGGUGAGUCGACCCCUAAGGCGAGGCCGAAAGGCGUAGUCGAUGGGAAACAGGUUAAUAUUCCUGUACUUGGUGUUACUGCGAAGGGGGGACGGAGAAGGCUAUGUUGGCCGGGCGACGGUUGUC